rnacentral:misc_RNA from 1 species
GAUGAAGAACGCAGCGAAAUGCGAUAAGUAAUGUGAAUUGCAGAAUUCAGUGAAUCAUCGAAUCUUUGAACGCACAUUGCGCCCUCUGGUAUUCCGGGGGGCAUGCCUGUUCGAGCGUCAUUAUAACCACUCAAGCUCUCGCUUGGUAUUGGGGUUCGCGGUUCCGCGGCCCCUAAAAUCAGUGGCGGUGCCUGUCGGCUCUACGCGUAGUUAUACUCCUCGCGAUUGAGUCCGGUAGGUCUACUUGCCAGCAACCCCCAAUUUUUACAGGUUGACCUCGGAUCAGGUAGGGAUACCCGCUGAACUUAAGCAUAUCAAUAAGCGGAGGA